rnacentral:lncRNA from 1 species
GAGGGAUCUAGUUUGCACUGGUUUUGUAAGUUAUGGGAUGUGUUGUAUCCGGUUUUGCGGUUCGGGGACGAUUUGUAACUCGAUGACAAGUUAAGGGACCUUCGGUGUACUUUUUCCAAAUAGCAGCCGGACUUCUGAACGGGCUACUCGCGAGCGUGUGGGCCGGAAUGUCAGCUGGACGUAAAUGGGCCUCUCGAUGGCCCAUCCACCUCGCCGCCGACGGGGCGCCAUCAACUGCGCUGCCGCAUCCAAUCCCAGCACCCGCGAAUCUGCGAGUUCGGCCUUAGCACCGCGGUCAGCAGAGCAGGCGAUUGGUGGCGGCGCCGGCGGGACUCGCCGGGCCAGCGCGUGCCACAGCCUGCCGACGAGGUCAGGGAUUCAGGAAGGCGCACCGUGCACUGUUGCUUCAUCUGCAGGGCCGGCGUUCUUUCGGCGGGGGAGUGCCGGGUGGCGGUGGGCGUCGAUCCCCUCGAGGUGCUCGACCGUUUGCCUGACCGGGGCGCGGUGCAUCAAAUGAAUCGACGGGAAGCCGGGAACUCGACCAGAUCAACAGUGCGAGCCCCCAAGCUGGUCAGUGGAGACUGGAGCAAUGUCUCAGUCUCACAGUUUCGGGGAGUCUCCUCCGAUUCAGAGGUUGGUGUGGCCGUGUGGGCAGGUCGCCGAUAUGUCACGAUGAGCUUCCCCUCCAGGUUGAUCCGUCCACAGAUUCCAAGGUUCAAGUGGCUUAGAGAAGUUAGAGCUGACAAACUUGGGGGGAUUUCACCAGAUAAUUCAUUGUAG